UAGAAGCAGCUGCUCACCUGGUAAAGCUGCUGGACUCACCUGCUCAGGGGGUGAUGAGUUCAGGUUGGUGGGAGGAGCCAGUCGCUGUGCAGGAAGACUGGAGCUGAAAUAUCUUGGUGAACAGAGACCUGUGAUGAGCGAUACCUUCACCAUGACGACAGCAGUUCUCGUCUGUGAACAUCUGAACUGUGGCUCUGUUGUUUCUGUACAACCAACUGAAGUGUCAGUUCAAUACAUGUGGAGAAUCGACUCUCGAUGUUUUCAAUCGGGAUCUGAUCGAAGGAACUGUGUGGAAUCAAGGAGGUUCCCUGACACCCUGAAACUCACCUGCUCAGACUCGGUGCGGCUGCUGGAUGGAUCCAGUCGUUGUUCAGGCAGACUGCAGGUGAAGACU